rnacentral:rRNA from 1 species
GCAUAUCAAUAAGCGGAGGAAAAGAAACUAACAAGGAUUCCCCUAGUAACUGCGAGUGAAGCGGGAAAAGCUCAAAUUUAAAAUCCGUCCCCCGACGGAGUUGUAAUCUAGAGAAGUGUUUUCGGCCGUUGACUUGGACAAGUCCCCUGGAACAGGGCGUCAUAGAGGGUGAUAAUCCCGUACUUACCAAGAUCCCAACGUCUAUGUGAUACACUCUCGAAGAGUCGAGUUGUUUGGGAAUGCAGCUCAAAAUGGGUGGUAAAUUCCAUCUAAAGCUAAAUAUUGGCGAGAGACCGAUAGCGAACAAGUACCGUGAGGGAAAGAUGAAAAGCACUUUGGAAAGAGAGUUAAACAGUACGUGAAAUUGCUAAAAGGGAAGCGCUUGAAGUCAGUCGCGUUUAAUGAGACUCAGCCUCACGGUGUAUUUCUCUUGAACGGGCCAACAUCGAUUUUGGGCGCGGGAAAAGGGUUUGGGGAAGGUGGCAACCUCGGUUGUGUUAUAGCCCCUUGCCGUACACCGCGCCUGGGAUCGAGGACCGCGGCUUUGCCUAGGAUGUUGGCGUAAUGGCUUUAAGCGACCCGUCUUGAAACACGGACCAAGGAGUCUAACAUGUCUGCGAGUGUUUGGGUGUCAAACCCAUGCGCGUAAUGAAAGUAAAUGUAGGUGGGAGGCUUCGGCCGCACCAUCGACCGAUCCGGAUCUCUUGUGAUGGAUUUGAGUAAGAGCAUAUAUGUUGGGACCCGAAAGAUGGUGAACUAUGCCUGAAUAGGGCGAAGCCAGAGGAAACUCUGGUGGAGGCUCGUAGCGAUUCUGACGUGCAAAUCGAUCGUCAAAUUUGGGUAUAGGGGCGAAAGACUAAUCGAACCAUCUAGUAGCUGGUUCCUGCCGAA